rnacentral:rRNA from 1 species
GCCAGACUCCUACGGGAGGCAGCAGUGAGGAAUAUUGGUCAAUGGGCGCGAGCCUGAACCAGCCAAGUCGCGUGAGGGAUGACGGCCCUACGGGUUGUAAACCUCUUUUGCCGGGGAGCAACGGGCGCCACGUGUGGCGCCACUGAGAGUACCCGGAGAAAAAGCAUCGGCUAACUACGUGCCAGCAGCCGCGGUAAUACGUAGGGGGCAAGCGUUAUCCGGAUUCACUGGGUGUAAAGGGAGCGUAGACGGCGACGCAAGUCUGGAGUGAAAGCCCGGGGCCCAACCCCGGGACUGCUCUGGAAACUGCGUCGCUGGAGUACGGGAGGGGCAGGCGGAAUUCCUGGUGUAGCGGUGAAAUGCGUAGAUAUCAGGAGGAACACCGGCGGCGAAGGCGGCCUGCUGGACCGUGACUGACGUUGAGGCUCGAGAGCGUGGGGAGCAAACAGGAUUAGAUACCCGCGUAAAA